AGUUAACUUGGAAGAAAGAGUCUUAGCCCGACCGCCUGCGGCCUGCUUAGCUUAGAAUGAGGCGGCGGGAAGACCCUUCUCGCUAAGUAAAAGAAUUUAG
rnacentral:lncRNA from 1 species